AUUAAACCAGCUCCACUAGUACAAAUACCACAACUGCGUGGCAUUGGGAAGGCCGCCGCCAUUGUCUUCAUCCAUAUGUUAAUCCUCUCCAUAUUAGCAUAUUCCAGUUAACCCUAAUUUAAGCAGAGGGUGCUGCUACCAUGAGUUUAGGUGAGAAUCUUACUUCAGGUGCAAGUUACCAUGAUGAAAAAAAUUCUGGUUAUUAAAACCUAAAUUCUGCUUUUCUAGUGCAUAGAGCGCAAUGGCACUGGGAAGGCCGCCUUAGGGUAGCCAGGGGCCCAGAAUCCUAUCCAUAUUAGCAUAUUCCAGUUAACCCUAAUUUAAGCAGUGCCAUUUAAGCCUUGGGGGAAACCUAUUCAAGGCACAGAAAACAGAUAUGGACAAAGGCUUUAUUCUCAGUACUACCAUUAGCAGGACAUUGCGAAACUCACUAAUGUUUGAUGCCUCUAGAGAGAAGUCGGUGCUGUUUAUUUUCCCGCACUGCUAUUUCCUGCUUGUUUUUCCAUCUAAGGAUUUCAAAUGCACCUAUUCAUAGUACCGUGAUGCCAGACCUACCAAAGUCACAGAUUAAAGAGGGAAAAUAAAUAUUCAGCUGAACUUUAAACUCAGUGUGGAGUUAUUUGCAUUUUUCUUUUAAGGCUUCCCGUUUUCAUCUUCACAAAACAAAUAAUGGGUUAAGCCACAGAAGGCGAAGAAAUAAUGUCAGUUCUCCUUUUAGGUCAGCUUUCCACAUUCCACGUUCAUUUGAAGAAGGUCUGAGAAGAUCUCCAGGGACCACAGAGAUCUUCAGAAAUUUGGGGCUCCUGUGCCUUCAUUAUUGUCCAGUGUUUGGGUUGACCCCCUUGACUUAUAACACGAUUAUAGAUAUGAU